rnacentral:rRNA from 1 species
UACGUAGGGGGCGAGCGUUGUCCGGAUUUAUUGGGCGUAAAGAGCUCGUAGGCGGCUUGUCGCGUCGAAUGUGAAAACUCGGGGCUCAACCCCGCGCUUGCAUUCGAUACGGGCAGGCUCGAGUUCGGUAGGGGAGACUGGAAUUCCUGGUGUAGCGGUGAAAUGCGCAGAUAUCAGGAGGAACACCGGUGGCGAAGGCGGGUCUCUGGGCCGAUACUGACGCUGAGGAGCGAAAGCGUGGGGAGCGAACAGG